rnacentral:rRNA from 1 species
GCAAGUCGAGUGCGCGGUUGUAGCAAUACAACUGGCGCACGGCGCACGGGUGCGUAACACGUGGGUAACCUGCCCUUUGGUGGGGAAUAACUCCGCGAAAGCGGAGCUAAUUCCGCAUAAGAUCCGCAAGGAUGAAAGCCGCAAGGCGCCGAAGGAGGGGCCCGCGCCCGAUUAGCUAGUUGGUAGGGUAACGGCCUACCAAGGCUUUGAUCGGUAGCUGAUCUGAGAGGAUGAUCAGCCACACUGGAACUGAGACACGGUCCAGACUCCUACGGGAGGCAGCAGUGGGGAAUCUUGCACAAUGGGCGAAAGCCUGAUGCAGCGACGCCGCGUGGGGGAUGAAGCAUUUCGGUGUGUAAACCCCUUUCGUUCCGGACGAAACCCCGCAAGGGAUUGACGGUACGGAUAUAAGAAGCCCCGGCUAACUACGUGCCAGCAGCCGCGGUAAGACGUAGGGGGCCAGCGUUGUUCGGAAUUACUGGGUGUAAAGGGUUCGUAGGCGGUGCGGCAAGUUGGGAGUGAAAUCUCUGGGCUUAACCCAGAGGCUGCUUCCAAAACUGCUGUGCUUGAGUGUGAGAGAGGCGCGUGGAAUUGCAGGUGUAGCGGUGAAAUGCGUAGAUAUCUGCAGGAACACCCGUGGCGAAAGCGGCGCGCUGGACCACUACUGACGCUGAGGAACGAAAGCUAGGGGAGCAAACAGGAUUAGAUACCCUGGUAGUCCUAGCCCUAAACGAUCAGGACUUGGGGUGCCACCCGUUCGGGUGUCGUCCCGGAGCUAACGCGUUAAGUCCUGCACCUGGGGAGUACGGUCGCAAGACUGAAACUCAAAGGAAUU